rnacentral:rRNA from 1 species
UACGUAGGCAGCGAGCGUUGUUCGGAAUUACUGGGCGUAAAGAGUGUGUAGGCGGUGCUCCAAGUCUGUUGUGAAAUCUCCCGGCUUAACUGGGAGGGUGCGGUGGAAACUAGAGUGCUAGAGGGUGGGAGAGGUAAGCGGAAUUCCUGGUGUAGCGGUGAAAUGCGUAGAUAUCAGGAGGAACACCUGUGGUGUAGACAGCUUACUGGACCACUUCUGACGCUGAGACACGAAAGCGUGGGUAGCAAACAGG